AAAUCAUUCAAAUUUCUGCCCUAUCAACUUUCGAUGGUAGGGUAGUGGCCUACCAUGGUUGUGACGGGUAACGGAGAAUUAGGGUUCGACUCCGCAGAAGCAGCCUGAGAGACGGCUACUACAUCCAAGGAUAGCAGCAGGCGCGCAAAUUACCCAAUGCUAAUGCGAGUGAGGUAGUGACAAUAAAUAACGAGAAAGGACACUACGUGUCUUUUCAUCGGAAUGAGAACAAUUUAAACCUCUUAUCGAGAACCAAUUGGAGGGCAAGUCUGGUGCCAGCAGCCGCGGUAAUUCCAGCUCCAAUAGCGUAUACUAAAGUUGUUGCAGUUAAAAAGCUCGUAGUUGGAUUUUGGAUCGGUGUCAUUGGUCCGCUAGGCUUAGUCCUAGACGUGUAUCGAUUGUACCGGUCUUCUGUUUGGGAACUUCUUCUGUUCUUCACUGAGUGGGAGUAGGGACCAGGCCGUUUACCUUGAAGAAAUUGGAGUGCUUAAAGCAAGCCAGUGCGAUUGAACAUAUUAGCAUGGAAUAAUAAAAUAUGACUUUGGUCUUAUUUUGUUGGUUUCCGAGAUCAGAGUAAUGAUUAAUAGGGAUAGUUGGGGGCAUUAGUACCUGGCAGUCAGAGGUGAAAUUCUUAGAUUUGCCAGAGACUAACUACUGCGAAAGCAUUUGCCAAGGAUGUUUUCAUUAAUCAAGAACGAAAGUUAGGGGAUAGAAGGCGAUUAGACACCGCCGUAUUCCUAACCAUAAACGAUGCCGACUAGGGAUUGGAAGAUGUUUCAAUUUUGACUCCUUCAGCACCUUAUGAGAAAUUAAGAGUCUUUGGGUUCUGGGGGGAGUAUGGUCGCAAGGCUGAAACUUAAAGGAAUUGACGGAAGGGCACCACCAGGAGUGGAGCCUGCGGCUUAAUUUGACCCAACACGGGAAAACUUACCAGGUCCAGACAUAAAAAGGAUUGACAGAUUGAGAGCUCUUUCUUGAUUAUAUGGUUGGUGGUGCAUGGCCGUUCUUAGUUCGUGGAGUGAUUUGUCUGCUUUAUUGCGAUAACGAACGAGACCCCCGCCUGCUAAAUAGCUGGGCAAACAUUACGUUUGUAAGCCAGCUUCUUAGAGGGACUAUGUGUGUAAGCACAUGGAAGCUGGGGGCAAUAACAGGUCUGUGAUGCCCUUCGAUGUUCUGGGCCGCACGCGCGCUACACUGACGGCAGCAACGAGUUUUGACCUUGGCCGAUGGGUCUGGGUAAUCUUGUAAAUGUCGUCGUGCUGGGGAUCGAUUAUUGUAAUUUUUGGUCGUAAACGAGGAAUUCCUAGUAAGCGCAAGUCAUCAGCUUGCGUUGAUUACGUCCCUGCCCUUUGUACACACCGCCCGUCGCUCCUACCGAUGGAUGGUCCGGUGAGGCCUCGAGACCGCGAAUGUUAGACUUGUUUCAAGCCAAACGUUUGUGGGAACUUGCCCGAACCUUAUCAUCUAGAGGAAGGAGAAGUCGUAACAAGGUU
rnacentral:rRNA from 1 species